rnacentral:rRNA from 1 species
GGUUGAUCCUGCCAGUAGUCAUAUGCUUGUCUCAAGGAUUAAGCCAUGCAUGUCUAAGUAUGAACCUUCAUACGGUGAAACUGCGAACGGCUCAUUACAACAGUCAUCAUUUACUUGGUCAUUGGAUCUCUGAUCCUACAUGGAUACCUGUUGGUAACACCAGAGCUAAUACAUGCACAAACUCCCUGGCGCAAGCGGGGAGGCAUUUAUUAGAUUCAACCAACCCGGCGCUCGCGCCGGUCGGAUGAUUCACAGUAAAUCGUUGCGAAUCGCUCCGUACGGAGUGAUGAAC